UGAACUAUGUUAUGAUCGAUGAGUAGAAAAGUGAAAAAGAUGGUGGCUAACUCCUAGAAAAAGGGGGGAUGCUUAUGGUUCUCUGCUUUAUCCCUGGAAAGGAAUAGACAUGUCUGUUUUUGAAGCACUUACGCUGAUGGUUGCAUUUGCAACUUUAGUUGUGCUGAUCAUAGACCAAGA
rnacentral:sRNA from 1 species